GCCUGGUGAGCUCAGCUGGAAGAGCAUUCGCCCGACAAGCGAAGGGUCCCAGGUUCGAAUCCUGGUCUAGUCC